rnacentral:rRNA from 1 species
UACGUAGGUGGCAAGCGUUGUCCGGAUUUACUGGGCGUAAAGAGCGCGCAGGCGGCUGGUCAAGUCCGAUGUGAAAGCUCCCGGCUUAACUGGGAAACGGCAUCGGAAACUGAUCGGCUUGAAGGUGGGAGAGGGUAGUGGAAUUCCCGGUGUAGCGGUGAAAUGCGCAGAUAUCAGGAGGAACACCGGUGGCGAAGGCGGGUCUCUGGGCAACAACUGACGCUGAGGAGCGAAAGCGUGGGGAGCGAACAGG